AAACGUCCGAAAAGAUGAGAGAAUUGAUGAAGAUUUCGUUUUAUAAGCCUGCUAAAGGACUUUCCACUUGUUUUCUAAACGAUUUCAUCAAUGAAAUGUGCACAGACGAAAAGAAUUGAUCCAAGCAUUACACAAGGACCGAAAGCUGUCGGAUCUUCCAAAGAUAACUCAGCCAACACUAAUAAUCUGGGGAGAAUAUGACCAAAUAUUCCCCUUGGA